UUGCAUAUCUCAAAGCGGAGGAAAAGAAACUAACAAGGAUUCCCCUAGUAACGGCGAGUGAAGCGGGAAGAGCUCAAAUUUGAAAUCUGGUAGCCUUCGGUUGCCCGAGUUGUAAUCUAGAGAAGUGUUUUCCGUGCCGGCCCAUGUACAAGUCCCUUGGAACAGGGCGUCAUAGAGGGUGAGAAUCCCGUCCUUGACAUGGACCCCCGGUGCUUUGUGAUACACUUUCAACGAGUCGAGUUGUUUGGGAAUGCAGCUCAAAAUGGGUGGUGAAUUCCAUCUAAAGCUAAAUAUUGGCGAGAGACCGAUAGCGAACAAGUACCGUGAGGGAAAGAUGAAAAGCACUUUGGAAAGAGAGUUAAACAGUACGUGAAAUUGUUGAAAGGGAAACGAUUGAAGUCAGUCAUGCUCUUGGGACUUACCUCCCUUGAGUGGGGUCAACAUCAGUUUUGAUCGAUGGAUAAAGGCACGGGGAAGGUAGCACUCUCGGGUGAACUUAUAGCCUCGCGUCAUAUACAUUGAUUGGGACUGAGGAACGCAGCAUGCCUUAUGGCCGGGAUUCGUCCACGUACAUGCUUAGGAUGUUGACAUAAUGGCUUUAAACGAC
rnacentral:rRNA from 1 species